ensembl:snRNA U6 U6 spliceosomal RNA
GUGCUUUUCUCAGCAGCACACAUACUAAAAUUGGAACAAUACAGAGAAGAUUUGUAUGGCCUCUGUGCAAGGAUGACAUGCAAACUUGUGGAGAGUUCCAUAUUUUU